ACAAGAUAAUCUGCACUGUUCCCUCAUGACUGAUAGAAGAGGUCACAAAGGCAAGUCUACCUCUGUAUCAGAGACAUGAGGUCAGGGACAGGGCCUCAACUUUGUACCCCAAAUAAAGCUAAAGCUUUAAGGUAAACCUGAUGGACUUGGGAGCUUUCCUGAACCUACUCAAGCUAUAACCAGUAAGAUGCAGCACUGUGGAGCCUUGGGUCUGUCUCCAUGGGGGAAAGUCCAGAGGACUGAGGCUGGGAAAUCUCAAAUAUAUAUGGAGAGAAGGAACAUUGUAACUGCACAAGCCCUACCCAUGGGUUUGGCUGAGAAGAAGGCAAGAUGACGCACUGGAUGCCUUCAGGUAG